rnacentral:rRNA from 1 species
CUAGCGACUUCAGAGUUUGAUCCUGGCUCAGGAUGAACGCUAGCUACAGGCUUAACACAUGCAAGUCGAGGGGCAGCACAGUGUAGCAAUACACGGGUGGCGACCGGCGCACGGGUGCGUAACGCGUAUCCAACCUUCCCGAUACUCUUGGAUAGCCUUCCGAAAGGGAGAUUAAUACAAGAUGGUGUUUCACUUUCGCAUGUUAUUGAAACUAAAGAUUUAUCGGUAUCGGAUGGGGAUGCGUGACAUUAGAUAGUAGGCGGGGUAACGGCCCACCUAGUCUACGAUGUCUAGGGGUUCUGAGAGGAAGGUCCCCCACACUGGAACUGAGACACGGUCCAG